UAGAGGUGAUUUAUACUAUAUAAUGACAGAGAGCCACUACACUACAGACCACAGAGAAUAGAGGUGAUUUAUACUAUAGAAUGACAGAGAGCCACUACACUACAGACCACAGAGAAUAGAGGUGAUUUAUACUAUAGAAUGACAGAGAGCCACUACACUACAGACCACAGAGAAUAGAGGUGAUUUAUACUAUAUAAUGACACAGAGCCACUACACUACAGACCACAGAGAAUAGAGGUGAUUUAUACUAUAUAAUGACACAGAGCCACUACACUACAGACCACAGAGAAUAGAGGUGAUUUAUACUAUAUAAUGACACAGAGCCACUACACUACAGACCACAGAGAAUAGAGGUGAUUUAUACUAUAUAAUGACAGAGAGCCACUACACUACAGACCACAGA